CCGCGUGUGUGAAGAAGGCCNUNGGGUUGUAAAGCACUUUAAGUUGGGAANAAAAGUUAUUGGUUAAUACCCNAUGACCGUGACGUUACCUNCAGAAUAAGGACCGGCUAAUUCCGUGCCAGCAGCCGCGGUAAU
rnacentral:rRNA from 1 species